AGCCAAUCCCAGUCCUCUCCCUGGGAUCCGACCUCCAAAGCCGCAGCCUCAGCUCCCAUCCCCCACCCAUCCCGGCCAGCGGGAAUCCUUCCAAGGAGAGGGUAAAAAAUCAGAAAAGUAGAGAUCUUUGUGUGGGGUAUCCAUCAUUUGAAGAUCAGAUGCAGAGAGAGGUCGACACUUGCAGAAGCAGCCAGAGAGCUUUGUCAGGGACAGACCUCGGAAGACAAAGCACAGCAUUUCCCCAGGAUGGGGCACCUCGUGGGAGACCCUCCCUCCAUAAAGCUGGGACUCCAAAGGCCAUUCUUCAGAGUAAGGGUGAUCCAGAAUUAAAUAUGCUCUAGAUCUCUACCCCCAGGGCCCUGUAGGAAAAUUUACCUUUGUGAUGAGUGAGCAAAGCAGGGAGGUAAAAGGCCCUGAGAAGUUUGAACAGUAGGUUGGCCAUCAAGUGAAUUUUUAGCUUAAAUUUGCAUCACUUUGGUGAUCCAACAAGUAGUCCAGGAUUGGCAGAAGAAAAUCCAAAUCUCUGGUUGAAUGUCCCUUUAUCCUAGGUGCUGAAAAAAUUUCUACAAGAAAAUUUUCAAGUUAAAUGACAAGCUCACAGAAAAAAAAAGGGGGUGUGUGUGGGCAACUAAGCACAGAAGAAAAUGAAGAACCGUGUCCUGAUUUUGCUUCUCAUUGUAGCAGAGUCUGCUUUUGGGGAGGAUCAGAUUGA